CCCUUAGAUGCUCUGGGCCGCACGCGCGCUACACUGAACAGUUCAACAAGUCUUAACCUUGGCCGAUAGGUCUGGGUAAUCUUUGAACGCUGUUCGUGAUUGGGAUAGACCUUUGCAAUUAUGGGUCUUCAACGAGGAAUUCCUAGUAAACGCAAGUCAUCAGCUUGCAUUGAUUACGUCCCUGCCCUUUGUACACACCGCCCGUCGCACCUACCGAUUGAAUGGUCCGGUGAAAUCUCGGGACGGCGGCUUGGUCGCUUGCGUCCGACUGCUGAAACUUGAUUAAACCAUAUCAUUUAGAGGAAGGUGAANUCGUANCA
rnacentral:rRNA from 1 species